AAAAUGUGGGAAGACCUGCCUUUGCCAAUAACAAGACUCCUUGGAAGAUAAGAUGGCCCCUUACUCUCUCUAACAACAGACUUCCAAGAGGAAUUUCUCUAUGAUCUUGUUCCAGGAAUGUGUUUCCCAAGAAGCAAGUCUGGAUUCAUCUUAUGUACACUCCUGGCCUGUCUCUGAAAUUCGGGGAUCUGCUCAGCAGACCGGAACAACCCAGGAGGCAUCUGGGCUCUGGAAGGAAAUACAAGCCAGCCAGUUCCAGCAGCUUUUUCCCAAAGCCUGGAGCAGGCUCUGCUCUGUAGCUACUAGCAUUUUUACGACAGUAACCUGAGGCCACUCAUCUUAGGUCUGAUUGAUGAGUAGGUCAGAAAUCAUCCCAGCGUGGAACCCUCCUUGACUCACGCUGUCUGGGUGAACACACAGACCCAUUCCACUGUUUCCUGGCCAGCUUGACUUCACUCUUCUUAUUUUUCUUGGGCUAAGAAAAGACAUUCUUUGCUGGAUAUAAAUAUCAUGCAUUUCAGAAAGUUCAUAUGUACAAAUAACAUGGAUUCGGGAUCAUUACAGUUGUUAAUUUUAGUAAAAUAAUUUUUUUCUUUG
ensembl:lncRNA novel transcript